GCAGAUGCGAGCAUUGUUUCUGUGGUCUUACAAGCAAAAUUAACGUUAACCAAAGAAAAUCACGGAAAUUCAUCAUGGUACCAACACGCAUUAUCUUGAUUUUAAUUAUCUUGUUGUCGUCAAUCUCCCUACUGGAAGCUUUUUUGUUUGAUGAUGUUGGUGGUUAUGGUAUGGCCGGCGGCGGCUAUCUUGUCGAACCCCGAAAACGCUUCAGUAUGUUAAAUCUCAUAUCGAAAAGAAUGACUGGCGCCAGUACAAACAACUGAAGCUAUCCUUAUACAUAUGCAUUUAUGAUUCAACUAAUGCAUUUAAGAGUAUGUAAAUAAAAAUGUUUAGCGUAAAUCACUAAACUGUAAAACA